rnacentral:rRNA from 1 species
GACGAACGCUGGCGGCGUGCUUAACACAUGCAAGUCGAACGGAAAGGCCCUGCUUUUGUGGGGUGCUCGAGUGGCGAACGGGUGAGUAACACGUGAGUAACCUGCCCUUUACUUUGGGAUAACUUCAGGAAACUGGGGCUAAUACCGGAUAGGAGCUCCUGCUGCAUGGUGGGGGUUGGAAAGUUUCGGCGGUUGGGGAUGUACUCGCGGCUUAUCAGCUUGUUGGUGGGGUAGUGGCUUACCAAGGCUUUGACGGGUAGCCGGCCUGAGAGGGUGACCGGCCACAUUGGGACUGAGAUACGGCCCAGACUCCUAAGGGAGGCAGAAGUGGGGAAUAUUGCACAAUGGGCGGAAGCCUGAUGCAGCAACGCCGCGUGCGGGAUGACGGCCUUCGGGUUGUAAACCGCUUUCGCCUGUGACGAAGCGUGAGUGAAGGUAAUGGGUAAAGAAGCACCGGCUAACUACGUG